GACGAACGCUGGCGGCGUGCUUAACACAUGCAAGUCGAACGGCAAGGCCCUGCUUUUUUGGUGUUCUCGAUUGGCAAACGGGUGCGUAUCACGUGUGUAUCCUGCUCUUCACUUUGGUAUAACUUCAGGUAACUGGGGCUACUACCGGAUAGGAUCUCCUGCUGCGUUGUGGGGGUUGGAACGUUUCGGCGGGUGGGGUUGGACUCGCGGCUUAUCAGCUUGCUGGUGGGCUAGUGGCUUACCAAGGCUUUGAAUGGUACCCGGCCUGAGAGGGUGACCGGGGACAAUGGGACUGAGAGACGGACCAGACUCGAACGGGAGGCAACAGUGGGGAAUAUUACACAAUGAGAGGGAGUGUGAUGCAAAGGCGCCGCGUGUGGGAAGACGGUCUGCGGGGUGAGAACAGCAGUCGGCUGUGACGAAGCGGGAGUGACGGUAAUGGGUAAAGAAGCACCGGCUAACUACGUG
rnacentral:rRNA from 1 species